GGAGAAGGAUCACCAGCUCCAUACAGCUGUAGCUGUGACGUCUUCCCUUAACGCCGGCACAGAGCAGCUGUUAACGUUACCUUGAAAUCUUCAGUGAAUAACUGAAAAAGAUAACGGUUUUUUAUUUAAACUCUACUACAUGCGCGAGGAGCUCCUCACACUUGCCUUCAGUUCACAUCUGCGCUGAGGUUGCAUGGUCCAGGUUUUCAAGAAUGAGUUCACUACGGAUGAGCUGCGCACGUCUCCAGUGAAUUUUGAAUUUUACAUGGUGAUCAGCUGCAUCCUAUUAUCAUCAGCUUUCCUGCUACUGCCCUGGGGAUUACUCUUAAAGUUUCAAACUAAGUAUGAUAUAGUUGUGUUCAUUGAACUAAGAGUUUAUAGCAAACAAUUAUAUU